AAGCUUUGUUAUAGUGGUGUGGCAUGAAAUAAUACAAGCUACGUGAUCAUUAUUCUUUAAAAUGGGUUUUUACAACGUAGGUCGUCGGAGAAGAGACGGAGAUGCGGGCGGACGUUGGAGGCAGACGGCAUCCAGUUGUUGAGAAGAGUUGAAGGCGGGGAGCAGGCAGGAGCAGUAACAGAAACAGAAAAAGAGAUAGACGAUUUUAAUAGAACAGCUUCUCUUUUGUAAUCUACAAUACCUGUAUCUCUGACAUAACGUCGUUCAUUUUUAAGCUUGAUUUUCAUGUAUCUCAUGUGCUUCGGUAAUUAAAUUUCUUUAUUAUUUUAUAUAAUUAUUUAAUAGUUCAAAACGUUAUCUUGAAGAAGCAAGAAGGGAAGGAACGAGACGAUAAAAAAAAAAAGAAAGAAAAAUAAAAAAAGAUAAAGGAAAAAAUAAAGGAAAAAACAAUAUAGAAAAUAAACAAAGAACAUAAUGAUAACAUGAACGAAUAUUUAUGUAUUGGUUAAAAAAAUAAAAAAAAAAAAAAUAAAAAAAUAAGAAAAAGAAAAAGUUUUUUCUUUUCUAAAUAAAAUUUACACAGUAUUCUUUUUCUCACUUCUUUAGAAUAACAUUCUAAUUAUCAUUCAGACUUUUUUUUCCAUUUAUAUAUUUUCUAUUUUCUAUUUAUAAUAUACUCUUGUAUUUUUUGUAAAAUUUGGAGAAUAUGGAAAAUAAUAAAUUAAAUCCGUUGCAUAAGAGAACAAAUAAAUCAAGCUUUAAUUUUGAAAGUGGUAUGCUUAUAACAGAGCGAUCUGCUUCUUAGCGAUAUACAGCUCGGAAAAAUAGUUAAGUAGUAAUUUGUGCCAGAUAACAAUAGAAAAUAAUAGCCGUUAGAAUUUCGUGCAUAGCCUGACCAUAUUAAAGAUUUCAAUGAGGGACAGAUUUGCAGAUAGAAAAUUGACCGAAAGUUAGUUUUUAAUAAAUUCAUUCUAAUAAAUUCAGUCGUAUGUUGAUUUUUGUAUAUAUUGAUUUUUUGUAUUCAAAAAAAAAAAA